GUUUUAACCUUGAUCUAGAUAAUUGCAUUGUUCAAAGAAAUUUGCUUCAAGUCGCAUCAAAUCGAAAGUAUUGAAUCAAGCAAAGGACAGAGCUUGUUAUCUCAAAAAGGCGAUAUUCAAUCUUUAGGCCUAAAGCCCAUUUAUUAUGUACCCGACUGGUAUGUUUUUGCAGCCCAAUAUGUAACUGAUUGACUAUAAAAGAGGGCCCAAACAAAAGAGGGCCCGAAUCUUGAAUUUCCUUUGUCAAAAGAAAAUCGUGUUAUUGGAGCAGCAUUCUUUCUCCUUUAUAAAAGUCUAAUUUCUUAGACCACAAAAGUCGAUCAAUUCCUUACGAAAAAAUCUACAGGCUUCCACAGAAACUUUUAACAACAUUCCCACAACCUUCCCCCAAUCUCACUAAACCUAUCACAAAACAACAACAUAGUACAAUCUUCUAGUAAACAGAACAAAGCAAAGAUACAAAAAGGUUGAAAAGUACAGAAUCCACUAAAAAAGGUGCUUCCGUCGAAGUUUCCGAUAUCCACAGAAUCGUCAAAUUCCUGAAGCAAGAGAUAAAAGUUUAAUCUAAACUACCAAAACUUUCGAGAACAAAAAUUAACUUUAGAAGGUAGGUACUUUCAAACAAAAGUGUUUUAAUUUUCAAACAUUCGCAUAACAUUCAUAUUUUUUAUUUUAAUACAUAUUAAUAUGCUUGUUGGUGUUGUAUGUUAUACUGUCCAUUUUAUCACCAUUUAAAUCACUUUCAAUCUAAUGACCACCAUAACUAAAUGAUCAAACAACUCGCUAAAGCAAAAUAAUGGACUGACAAAGAACACGACACUUCUUUUCUUAAUAAAGGUUAUUGGAAAAUACAUUAAUGAAGGGCUAAAAUGAUUACUUUUCAAAUAACACCAAAUACCCAAAAACUACAAAAUGACUUGAAAAGGCGGAACAGUCGAAAUCGAGCAAAAUACCAAAAUCGAGCAAGAUCAGGGUUUUUUUGGUUAAAGUUUUUUGUUGGAAUUUUAUUAAAGGCGGAAUAUCGAAAAUUGCAAAUCUUUGAUUCAUUUUCAUGAUAUUGAUACUGCUGGGUUUAUUUCAGUGUUGUAACCGUUUAAUUUCCAUCCCUCUGAAUACAUAUUAAUGCUUAAAAUCAUGAUGACAAUCCAUACUUCACUUAUCUUUUGGCUAGCAAAUCUGAACAACAAUUCGAGAAACAAUUUCCUUUACCUCUUAGGCCAAGUCGAUGUACUCUCCUCUUUUCUCGAGCAAGUUUGGAGGUGGUCUUUUUGUUUUGAAGUAAUAAUUAAAGCAGGGGGUUAAUUAUUUUGCAUUUACGAGGGAGUAGAGUUUAACUAAAUAAAGAAUGAUUUUUUUUACCUAGUUAUCUUCCUCUUCGUAGAUUCGGUCUCGAAUCGGUGGCUGUACCUAUGCCAGUAGCAUUCUCCUUUUGUCACCCGUACCCAAUCUAAAAAAAAUCAAAGAUAAGAACAAUGAUUUAAUAUUAUGAUCUAGGAUCUAAAUAGGGGCAUGCAUGGUGGCGGAAGACUCACCGGUGUCGUAUUCCGACGACAUAGAAGUUGGAUCCCGUUUUUAACCCAAAAAAUAAGAAAGGAGUAGGGAUGGGAAUGGUCUUUGAUCUCUAUUUUAACCGCCACCGUUGUGAGGGACGAGGAAAAGAGAAAAGAGACGAAGGACACGGCGGUGCUGCUGUGGCUGCUGCCGCUGUGAGGCGAGGAAGAGAGAAAAGAGAAAAAGGGAACGACGGCGUUGUUGCCAUCGUUGCCGUUGUGAAGGAGAAGGAGAAGAAGAGAAGGAGAAGGGGAAUAAGAGAUGG
rnacentral:lncRNA from 1 species